rnacentral:rRNA from 1 species
GACGAACGCUGGCGGCGUGCUUAACACAUGCAAGUGGAGCGACGAACCAGGGCUUGCCCUGGGGCAGAGCCGCGAACGGGUGAGUAACACGUGGGUAACGUGCCCCGAUGAUCGGGACAACCCGGGGAAACCCGGGCUAAUACUGAAUGUGCUCCCCUCACACCAGUGAGGGGUGGAAAGGAAGCUUCGGCCUCCGCAUCGGGAUCGGCCCGCGGCCCAUUAGCUUGUUGGUGAGGUAACGGCUCACCAAGGCUGCGAUGGGUAGCUGGUCUGAGAGGACGAUCAGCCACACUGGGACUGAGACACGGCCCAGACUCCUACGGGAGGCAGCAGUGGGGAAUCUUGCGCAAUGCGCGAAAGCGUGACGCAGCAACGCCGCGUGGGGGGAAGAAGGCCUUCGGGUUGUAAACCCCUUUCAGGAGGGACGAAGCGUGGGCGGUUAAUAGCCGAUCCACGUGACGGUACCUCCAGAAGAAGCCCCGGCUAACUACGUGCCAGCAGCCGCAGUAACAC